UACGGAGGGGGCAAGCGUUGUUCGGAAUUAUUGGGCGUAAAGGGCGCGUAGGCGGCCGGAUAAGUCUGACGUGAAAUCCCUCGGCCUAACCGAGGAACUGCGUUUGAAACUGUCUGGCUCGAGUCCGGGAGAGGGUAGUGGAAUUCCCAGUGUAGCGGUGAAAUGCGUAGAUAUUGGGAGGAACACCGGUGGCGAAGGCGGCUACCUGGACCGGUACUGACGCUGAUGCGCGAAAGCUAGGGUAGCAAACAGG
rnacentral:rRNA from 1 species